CCCGAACUGGGCCCAAUGUCUAGAACUCGCCUUAUCUCUCUCUCAGAGCCUUUACCCAGCUUUUACAGCAAACUGAAAAGGUUCAGACAAAACAAAAAGCAUUUUUCCUAGAAGUUAACAUUUUCUAAAACAUGUAAGACAAGAACCUGGGACAAAUAUACCUGCCCUCAAACACUAUCCCAGUGUUCUUGUCACAAUAUAUAUAUAUAUAUAUAUAUAUUCAGUCUGUUUAACAGCUGCUGAACUAUUAAUAACUAAACACUUGGACUGCUGGACUUUUUUUGGAUUGAAGAUGUUCUCAGUGUAUACAGGCAGUACUAAGGAGUGCCCAUUUUCAGGUGCAUUUGCCAAGAAACUCACUGAUGCCUCUACGAGUAAUAAUCCCAAGGGUUUGACAUUGAGGAGAAUGUAGACUUAUUGCAGGCCAAGUGACUGAACCUGCUAGAUGGAAAGGAACUCUGUUUACUGUACACAGCAUGUGGCCGCGUAUGCCUAAAUGUUAGAAAUGUCUCCAGAAGAGCAACUGGCCAGGCAACUCUCCUUCCUAAUUCCAUAAAACUGCCCAGUAUAUGGACAAGUCACAGGUCUUAGUCUUUAAACAGAAUGAAGCAAGUUAUUAAAUGACCCUGCUGGUCUGGCAGAGAGACCCUGGGCUAUGAGAACAAAAGUUUAAACCUGGGUCGCAAUCAAUUACUUUUGCUUUUAAAAGAGUAUAAAUCCACAAGGGUGGGGGUCAAGGAUCAGGAGUGGAUAGAUAAAUAUAUCUGUUUAGCUGAAUCUAGUGUGCACUCUUUGGGGGCAACCAUGCCUUCAGGGUGCCCCAUACCUAUUAUUUCUUUGAGGUCCCCACAAUUGAAACUCCUAAGGUCUUUUUUUGUAAAUCAGGAUUUUUCUGCUUUUUCCCCCUGAAACUAAUGCCAUAAUAAUCUGUGUAUCAGUACUUUGUAUAUUUUAACUAUAAGCUUUGGAAUUUUUGUUUUUGUUUAUUAAAUACACCU